GCAUGUCCAUUGAUAAUGUGCAUCUUG
rnacentral:sRNA from 1 species